AUCCUUCUCUUCUUUUCAUCUCCUCCUUUAUCUCUUUCCCUCCUCCAGUUCAUUGGGUUUUGCAGACAAGAAGAGCAUGCCUGCUUGUUCCUCCUAAUAGCUACUCAACUCAACUAUUCUUGCUGCUUCAUCCUGAUUCUUCUUCUUCUUCUUCCUCUGCUGCUGCUGCUUGGUCUUGCUAGGUCUCAGUAGACUCUGAUAGUCUGAUGGAUUUGUGGUCCUCCAUGUCCUUGCUUUCACUGCUUCCUAGGACCCUUAGCAAAUGGCAAUGCUACUCCUAAACUUGU
rnacentral:lncRNA from 1 species